GUAUUCUAUGUUUAUCGGUGUGAACGAUUCGACGGAAUUGCGGUUCGUUGGGGGCUCUUCGUCACAAGCGGGUUGUGGUAGCAACCGUAGUCGGCACUCGAGCAUGGAGGAGGCUAUGAGGGAGAAGCAAGAAAGGUUUCGUGAAGAGCUGCAACAACAACAAAUGGCAUUCAUCCAAUAACAAUCAGAGUAUAUGGCUGCUUACAACGUACUGGCGCAACAAUCUUGGUUUCUAGAGCAGGCACAACAACAACCUUUCGUUUUCCCUCAAGUUCAGCCAUUGAUGCCUCAGCGGGGAUUACAUGCUUUGACACCUCCAUCUCAGGUGCAUCAAUUUAGUUUAGAAUUGUCGUUUGUAUUAACCUUUCAAAUUUUGACUUAACUUGAUUUUGUAGGGAUCUGAGGUUAUGGGCCACAACACGCCACCACCGGUGAUACCAGCAUCAGGAGGAGCUUCUAGAGGGGAGGGAGCUACUACAGAAGAUGUUAGUUUGACAAACUCUGGAGGGGAGGGAGCUACUGCAUAAGAGACUCCAAACCAGACAAACGACUUCGUAAACAACUUCUUUGCUUAUAGAAGUAGUGACCACAACUCAAACAACCUCUAUACGUGAUUAUUUGACUCUUGUGGUGAAUUUGGCCGAUGUGAUGUAUUAUGAUGUAUUUGCGAUGGAAUUGUAAGUUUGUGAUAGAUUGUAAUGGAUUUGUAA